ACUUUGUUUGCGGCUGCCAUGUUCCAGUCAGAGUCAGCACACAAGAUGUCCGCCAUGUUACAGCCAGAGUCAACUCCCAAUAUAGCCGCCAGGCCACAGUCGGAGCCACCACGUGUCAGAGCUGCUUCACCUGCUACCUCAUCGGCCAGAGCUGCCGCUUCACCUGUCCGGUUCACCACACCAGUGCCUCUAGCCGUUAUGAAAGCCACGCCAAGUUCUUCAGCCACCAUGGACGACACUCCAGAGUUUUCGGUCGUCAAGGACACCAAACCAGAGUUCUCUGUUGUCAGGAGUGUUGUGUUUGGAGACAAGGCUUUCUCUGGGCGAUUGAGGCUGACUUCCAGUUUGGCGGACCCACCAUUGAGGUCGGUGAGAGCAGCUGGCAUUCCAAGGCCUUCAGAAGUGGAGGUUGUAGAGGUGGUUCCUCUGUCUGAAGUGCUUCCAGUCGUGGCAGUUGCUAUGUUGUGUGUCUUGGCAGUACACUGUACUCUCACUCCGGAACCAAGCCUAGUUCAAGUCUCUGAUCCUAAGCCAAGUCCAGUUCAAGAAUCCAUUCCGGAAUCAAGUCCAGUUCAAGUUUCUGUUCCUGAGCAAAGUCCAGUCCAAGAAUCCAUUCCGGAACCAAGUCCAGUUCAAGUUUCUGUUCCUGAGCCAAGUCCAGGCCGAGAGUCCAUUCUGGAACAAAGUCCAGUUCAAGUUUCUGGUCCUGAGCCAAGUCCAGUCCAAGAAUUCGUUCCGGAGCCAAGCCCAGUUCAAGUCUCUGGUUCUAAGUCUAGUCCAGUCAAAGAAUUUGUUCCCGAACUUAAUCUAGUCCAAAUUUCUGGUCCUGAGCCAAGUUCAGUCCAAGACUCUGUUUCCGAACCAGGUCCGGUCGCUGAACCCAAUCCAGACCCAGUUCCUCUCUGGCCGCCGAUCCAGCCGGACCCACCUAAGCCACCAUGUGCUCCACCAGCUCCGCCCAGACCGCCAUCUGUCUCAUAUGUGCCACCUUCUGGUCAAGCAGCUCCAUCAGGUUUACUUUUGGCCUCAAUCUGGUCUCUGCCCUCUGUUUCACUGAUUCCACCGUGGCUACCGCCUUCAGUUCAAUCAGCUCCUCCUCUGGCUUUAAUCUGGUCUCUGCCCUCUGUUCUGCGGAAUCAUCUGUGGUCUUCACCCUCUGUUUCUCCUCUGCCUCCCGUACCUCUCCACGGUCCUGGCCCUCCUUCCCUCCCCCUGUGUCCGCCCCUGUACCACCACACUCCUGGACUUUGACAGUGUAGGGCGUCUGGAAUCCGCCCUUAGAGGGGGGGCUAUGUCACGCCCGGUUGCCUGCACCACUGUGAGGCUUUAGAGGGCGUUCCUGUUUUGUGUUCCUGCCUAUUCUGGUCAUGGACUCCAUUUCCCAUCAUGCUUUGUUUUCAUUAGUGUCUACCUGGUUCAGCUGUGUUUCAUUUCCUGUUUGGUCCUGUGUUUGUGUAUAUUAAGCCCUGGUCUGCUAUUGUCGGUGUGAGUUGUUGAUAAGUGUUACCUCCUUGUGGUUCCAUCAUGUAUUUUGGAUGCUUAUUUCUGUGGAUUAUCAUUAAAGGAUCUUGAACUGCA
ensembl:lncRNA